CUCCCAAACCCAUGUGAACAUACCUAACGUUGCCUCGGCAGGUCGCACCUACCUUGUAGCACCCUACCCUGUAGGGCCUACCCGGGAGGUGCGGGUAAGCCUGCCGGCGGCCCACCAAACUCUGUUUGAUAUUGAAUUCUGAACCUAUAACUAAAUAAGUUAAAACUUUCAACAACGGAUCUCUUGGUUCUGGCAUCGAUGAAGAACGCAGCGAAAUGCGAUAAGUAAUGUGAAUUGCAGAAUUCAGUGAAUCAUCGAAUCUUUGAACGCAUAUUGCGCCCAUUAGUAUUCUAGUGGGCAGGACCGUUCGAGCGUCAUUUCAACCCUUAAGCCUUCGUUGCUUAGUGUUGGGAGCCUACGGCAACGUAGCUCCUCAAAGUUAGUGGCGGAGUUGGUUCACACUCUAGACGUAGUAAUUUUUUAUCUCGCCUAUUAGUUGGACUAAUCCCCUGCCGUAAAACCCCCAAUUUAUAUCAAGGUUGACCUCGAAUCGGUUCAGACAAACUCGCUAAAUUGAAGCAUCUUAGUCAGC
rnacentral:rRNA from 1 species